CUGCACUGCUCAGUGACCAGCUGGUCUUUCCCUGACCUCCCGGGUCUCCUUGCGGUGCCAGAUCAGUCCCUUCUAGCAGAAGGGCCAGGCUCAUGUGGUCUGUCCCUUUCGAAAGCUGGGUACAAAC
rnacentral:snoRNA from 1 species